rnacentral:lncRNA from 1 species
AGGGUGCUGGAGUGGGGCUCAUUCUGUGCCAGGGUUGAGAUCUCAGGGGCUCUGCUCGCGGGUGGAAGAACUGCUCCCAUUAAGAUGGAUCUAGAAGGUCUCUUUGGUUUCAAACAAGAUCUCAAUAAACAGUGGAGAUAUAGGGAAUGGAGUCUAAUUUUUCAGGGACAAGAAAUAGGCAAAAAUUAAGCAGGGUAUUAAGGCUUUAAACAAGCAGGCUGAAGCCCAGCACAAGCCUGCGACAGAGCUAGGGAAAUGGAGCAGAAAUGAAGCAAGCUCGGUCACACUGCCACACCAGCAACGUGGUGGGAUGCUGAGAGAACCUACUCCUAAGGGGGUGAGAGAGCCUGGGCCUACCACAGGAUCCCCAGCUACAGACAGCAAGGCCCACUCCUGCACUGCUGAUUGGUGGGUCUGAGUCUGUCUUCUCAGGGACAAACUGAAGGUCUGCACAUGGUUAAGGUUUCCUGUUAAACGUCCUCAGAGCCUGCCAUGGAAGGGAACAGUCCAAAAGCUUCAAGGAAAGCAGAGACCGCAAGCAGAGGCUCAAGCCAUAAGUCAGGACUUGGGGAAAAAAGCGAAGAACCCAAUUAUCAGAAGUGAGCACCAAGCUCAGCACUAACUGAUGCCUGUUCUCCGUGCUGAGCUAGGAAAUGCUGAAACUCCCCUGACUUUAAGACCCAUCCCAGAGGUGGGAUGCCUCCAUGAGCUCCAACAGGCAGCCUCGCCGACCUCCCAGCUCUGCUCAGUUGCUCAGCACCCCAUGGAGAAGGUGAAGCCCAUAAUGAACACACUGCCCUGGCCACUUACUUCCUCCAACCAAAGAAGCCCUCAUCUCCCGGGCCUAGACCAUUUCCGGAGACCAGCUUGUGACAGAGCCACAACCUCCGGUCACUCUGUCAGCUAUCUGCAGUUCCUCCUUUUUCCUUUCCUCUCUCCCCUCAUAAACAAUGACUGUUGAUGUUUCCACUAGCUACAGAUGCUGAUGCCAAGAUUAGCUUUGGUCAAGAUGAUAUUCUCCAUCCUCCAAAACAAUGACCAAAAUGUUUUAUUUUAUGGCUAGGAACUUUACUUUCUUUCAUAUGAAAUAUUUAAUGUAUUUUUCACUGUGCUCAUUUUUGUUUUGUGUGGUGAUAGUUAAUAGCAAAACUUAUGCUACCCCAUCAAGAAAUAAACAAGGAACUUCUUGAUAACAGGAGGAACUAACCAUGCAACUGAAAGCAGAGGCGCAAAAAAGAGCUUUUUCUAUAUUUGAUUCCUUCUCUGAUUUGUAUAAUCUCCCCAUCAAAAAAAAAAAAAUCAAUGAAUUGUGUAACUCAGUUUCUCAAGUGUCAUAACAACCUGUGCUCCCUGUUCCACUCUCCCCACACACAGAAUGCUUAAUAAGAGAUUAAAGCACACAUAGACAUCUAUCGUUUUAAGCAGGUAGCUAUAUGCUUCUGCUGCCACUCACCAAAGACAGGGAAAUUUCUCAUUUGUAUAAAGCCCAGUUACCAAUACUUAACAGCUUUCUCUUCUAUAAGUUCAAGUCUAAAAAAUAGAAUUUCAGAACAGUGGAGGAAAAUAUGAAUAUUACAACAUAUAAUAUUAAGGCAACCAUAGUCUCAUGGGAAAAAAAACAGGACAAAACCCAGAUGAUGCAGAGUUUUAAGUGUAAAAAUAAAAGAAUAAAAGUAAUAGAGAAAAAAUGGUUUUUUAAAAAUACUUUUUGGAGGCUGGGCGUGGUGGC